rnacentral:rRNA from 1 species
AGUGAACGCUGGCGGUAGGCCUAACACAUGCAAGUCGAACGGCAGCACAGUAAGAGCUUGCUCUUACGGGUGGCGAGUGGCGGACGGGUGAGGAAUACAUCGGAAUCUACUUUUUUGUGGGGGAUAACGUAGGGAAACUUACGCUAAUACCGCAUACGACCUACGGGUGAAAGCAGGGGAUCUUCGGACCUUGCGCGAUUGAAUGAGCCGAUGUCGGAUUAGCUAGUUGGCGGGGUAAAGGCCCACCAAGGCGACGAUCCGUAGCUGGUCUGAGAGGAUGGUCAGCCACACUGGAACUGAGACACGGUCCAGACUCCUACGGGAGGCAGCAGUGGGGAAUAUUGGACAAUGGGCGCAAGCCUGAUCCAGCCAUACCGCGUGGGUGAAGAAGGCCUUCGGGUUGUAAAGCCCUUUUGUUGGGAAAGAAAAGCAGCAGGUUAAUACCCCGCUGUUCUGACGGUACCCAAAGAAUAAGCACCGGCUAACUUCGUG